rnacentral:rRNA from 1 species
GUCGAAACGAGAAGUGGAGCAAUCCAUGAGUACAGUGGCGUACGGGUGAGUAACACGUGGGUGAUCUACCUCUUAGUGAGGAAUAACCCUGGGAAACCGGGGCUAAUACCGCAUAAGCCUGAGAAGGGAAAGUCGAAAGACGCUGAGAGAGGAGCCCGCGGCCGAUUAGCUAGUUGGUGAGGUAAGAGCCCACCAAGGCAGAGAUCGGUAGCCGGCCUGAGAGGGCACACGGCCACACUGGCACUGAAACACGGGCCAGACUCCUACGGGAGGCAGCAGUGGGGAAUCUUGCACAAUGGGGGAAACCCUGAUGCAGCGACGCCGCGUGAGCGAUGAAGCCCUUCGGGGUGUAAAGCUCUUUCGGCAGGGAAGAUAGUGACGGUACCUGCAGAAGCAGCUGCGGCUAACUACGUGCCAGCAGCCGCGGUAAUACGUAGGCAGCAAGCGUUGUUCGGAGUUACUGGGCGUAAAGGGUGUGUAGGCGGUUCUUUAAGUUUGGUGUGAAAUCUCCCGGCUCAACCGGGAGGGUGCGCCGAAUACUGAGGGACUAGAGUGCGGGAGAGGAAAGUGGAAUUCCUGGUGUAGCGGUGAAAUGCGUAGAUAUCAGGAGGAACACCGGUGGUGUAGACGGCUUUCUGGACCGUAACUGACGCUGAGACACGAAAGCGUGGGUAGCAAACAGGAUUAGAUACCCUGGUAGUCCACGCCCUAAACGAUGCAUAUUUGGUGUGGGUCAUUCAGUUGAUC